rnacentral:rRNA from 1 species
UACAUGGGGUGCAAACGUUGCUCGGAAUCACUGGGCGUAAAGGGCGCGUAGGCGGCGUUUUUAAGUCGGGGGUGAAAGCCUGUGGCUCAACCACAGAAUGGCCUCGAUACUGGGACGCUUGAGUAUGGUAGAGGUUGGUGGAACUGCGAGUGUAGAGGUGAAAUUCGUAGAUAUUCGGAAGAACACCAGUGGCGAAGGCGACUUACUGGACACAUAUUGACGCUGAGGUGCGAAAGCGUGGGGAGCAAACAGG